ensembl:lncRNA GRASLND glycosaminoglycan regulatory associated long non-coding RNA
UUGUUUCUCUAGAGUAGCAGGAAAUCAAAUGUCAGUUCUCAUUCUGACUUUCUCUCCUUAAGGACACAGAGGAAUCUGGGGGAUAUUAUGGUUCUGGGAAUGUGGAAUGUAACGUCUCAUCUUCAGCCCAUCUGUGCUACUGAUCAUCUCAUUCCAGAAGCCAUGCCUUCUCUCAGGAGCAGACAGCACAAGACUUUCCUGCCAGAGGCACAGUCCCCAGUGGGAGUAGCAUCCACAUAAGACAGGAUGCAGAGAUGUCUUCAAGCAGCUUCAAACAAAACUUCAAGAAAGAAAGUGCAAGUGAAAAAGGAAAUUCAUCCUUCCAGUCACUUAACACAGCACUGUCACGGACACCUUGUGCCUCCUUAAAAUUCGUAUACUGAAGUUCUAAGCCCCAGUACCCCAGAAUGUGACCUUCUUUGGAAAUAGGGUCAUUGCAGAUAUGAUUAGUUAAGAGGAGAUCAUACUGGAGUGGGCUUUAAUCCAAUAUGACUGGUGUCCUUAUGUAAAGGGGAAAUUUGGACACAGACACACACAAGGAGAACACCAUGUGAACUGAAGUCAAAGAUUUGGGUGAUGCUUCUACAAGCCAAGAAAUGCCAAAGAUGACCAGCAAAGCACCGGCAGCUGGUGGAGGAGCCUGGACCAGAUUCUUCCUCACAGCCCUCAAAAGGAACCAAUCUUGCCAAAGCUUUGACUUAGACUUCUAGCCCCCUGUGAUGGUUAAUGUUAAGUGGCAGCUUGACUGGGUUAAGGGAUGCCCAGAUAGCUGGUAAGACAGUAUGUCUGUGUGCAUCUCUCAGAGUGUUUCUGGACAAGAUCAGCAUUUGAAUCCUUAGAGUAAAGAAGAUCUGCCCUCACCCACGUGCAUCACCCUAUCUCUGGAGAGCGCGAACAAACAGGAGGAAGGGCACAUAUGCUCCUUCUGUUCCAGCUGGCACAUCCAUCUUCUCCUGCCCCCUGACUUCAGAGCUCCUGGUUCUCGGGCCUCAGGAUUCCAGCACUUACAUGAGAGCGUGCUUCCCCCUCCCUACUCCACCCCUAGGUUCUCCGCCCUUUGGCCUCUGACUGAAUUCCACCACCAGCUUUUCAGGGUCUCCAGCUUGCAGACGGCAGAUCGUGGGACUUCUUGGCCUCCAUAAUUAUGUAAGCCAAUUCCCAUAAUAAAUCUCCUAUCUAUCUAUCUAUCUAUCCAUCUAUCAAUCAUCUAUCUAGUCUAUCUAUCUAUCUAUCUCUAUCCUAUUGAUUCUGUGUCUCUGAGGAACCCUAAUACACCUCCAGAACUGUGAGAUGAUACAUUUCUGUGGUUUAAGCCACUCAGAAGGUGGUACUUUGUUUCACCAGGCCUAGCAAACUAAUACAAGUGCAUGGAAGGUGACUACUCAUGACUGCAACUUAGAGAACAAGGGUUAUAAUAAAAAUAAAAGUGUUAUACAAAGGUGGCAAGAUAAAUGACAAUAAAUGAAAAUAUUAACAUGUGAAUUAAAAAGUAAAGAUAUUUUUCCUAGCAUUCUCCCAGAAAGUAGAGACGCGUCUCUCUUGUUUGCCAUCAUAUCCAGCAAUGGCA